rnacentral:ncRNA from 1 species
CGCGUGGUGUUCGGCAAUAGUGACCGGAUAGCGACGCGGCUUAAGAGAGGC